ensembl:lncRNA
AUCUGCGUUACAAAAAAUCCCCAAUGGAGACCCAUGUAAUGUUACUUCUCAGAUUUCAGUGCUGGAGAAAUAUCUAUUUCCUGAUCCUUGGUUUUCUACCUUACCAACUAUUGAAAAGACUCACAACUAAGAGUUUGCCUUGAAUCUCAGAGGAGACUUUGGACUUGGACUUUUCAGCAAUGCUACAACUGUUUAUAAUUGGAGGAAGUCUUUAUGUCUAGCCCUAUACUAAGAAGAGAUUAUACAAGGCCUUGAAUACCAGCAGAUGAUAUCAUUUGUGUCAUUUGAAGACCGCCUACCACAGAUGUUCUGAAGGAUGUUUAUGAAGAUACAUUUAUUAUAGCUUGCUCAUCCGUCUUUGAUUCAUAAACACACAAAUAUUUAACAUAGAUAUUUCUAAACACAUGCAUAUUCUUCCUGUCUUGGUGGUUUCUGUGGUAGUUAUGAAUAUCUCAAUCCUAUGUCAAGAUACCAAAUUACAGAAUUCAAGGAAUCAUCUACAGCAUUUAUCCACUGCCACUUUUAUUUUGCAGAUACAAAUUUUGAUAUAGGACAAAGGUAAAUGACUUCA